CCUUUCUAUUUGGAUUGGAAAAACAAAGAGUGAACAAGAAAAAGGGUUUUUGUUUGAUAUUCUCUGAAUGAGAGAGAGAAGGGAGUGUCGGAUUGAGUGGUCGGCGCCGGCAGUCUCGCGGUGGGAAAUCGAUGAGAAUCGACGGUGACACCACUGUGAUUUGAGUUGAAGCUAAUGGGUUUGUUAGGUCACGUUUUGAAAGAGGGAGAAAGAAGGAGUGUAACGUGUAA
rnacentral:lncRNA from 1 species